CGCUCGCCGCCUCGUCGCCUCGUCGCCGCUCGCCGCCUCGUCGCCUCGUCGCCGCCCAUCGUUGCCUUGUCGCCACAAUCAGUCUCACGGAUAGUUGGACUAAAACCCUAAAAGUAGCACUUGUCUACUCGCCGCAAAUGGCUCGCGGAUCCAUCGUCGGAGGACGGAACCGCUUGGUUCAGUUGACAUGUCAAGAGAUAACGAGGAUCGAGAAGAAUAUUCAACUACGGAACAAUUCGAGAGACGUAGAGUUGCAUCCUUAGUUUGUGAGGAUGAGAAAGAUAACUCUACUUGCUCUAAGCAUUCAAGAAAAUGCAGUUCGAUUGUAUGGUCUGAAUUUGAAAAUUCACAGAUGGUGGUGGCAUGAAGAAGGCUAAAUGUAAGUGGUGCGAAGUAACUUAUACGGCUAGCCAUGGGACAAAAAACCUGUUGCGUCAUUUAAAUACUUGUCCCAACCAAGAGGUUAAUGUUGAUGGUUCCGUAGUACAAUUUAACCAAGUUGUGUUUAGAGAUAUGCUAGCAAGAGCGAUAAUCAAACACAAUUAUACAUACACUUUUGUGGAGCAUGAGGCUACUAGAGAGUUGUUUAGUUACCUCAACCCUAAUGUGAAGCACAUUUCAAGGCUUACAGCAAGAAGUGAUGUGGUAAAAGUUUAUGAAAAAGAGAAGGGAAUUUUGAAAUCCAAAUUAUUGUCUCUUUCGAGCCGAAUAUGUUUGACUUCUGACCUAUGGACUUCUGUUACUACGGAUCAUUAUAUGACUGUCACGGCUCAUUAUAUCGAUGAGGAUUGAGAAUUGCAUUAAAAAAUCUUGUGUUUCUCCUAUGUGCCACCUCCAUAUAGUGGUCCCAUACUUUUAGAAAGAUUGCUGAUUUUGUUAAGAGAAUGGGUUAUUGAGAGAAAGAUUUUCAGCAUUACUUUAGAUAAUGCAUCAUACAAUGAUAGUAUGGUUGAUAUUUGGAGAAAUACACUUUCUGUGAGAUCCUCUUUUUUAUGUGAUGGACAGUUUUUUCAUGUGCGUUGUGGUACACAUGUUUUGAAUCUUAUUGUACAGGAAGGUUUAAAGGUUAUUGAUGGAUCUCUACAUAAUAUUAGAGAAGUUGUCAAGUAUGUGAGGGCUACACAAGGGAGGAGAGUAAAGUUUGCUGAAUGUAUAUCGCAGUCGUGCUUAAAGACCAGUAUGCCAAGAUGUGGCUACGAGAUGGAAUUCUACAUACCUAAUGCUUGAGGGUGGCAUUUUCUUUGAAUGUACAUUUUCACAUUUAAAGUUAAUUGACCAUAACUUUGUCACAUGUCCAUCUUCUGAAGAUUGGGUCAGAGGAAAGAAAAUUGCUUUCUUGUUGAAUCCCUUUUAUGAUAUUUCUACUCUGUUCUCUGGAGUUAGAUAUCCUACAGCGAAUUUAUAUUUUUAUGGAGUAUGACAGAUUUAGCUUCGUUUAAUACAGGCAAGGAAUUCUGAGGAUGAGGCUAUUAGUUCUAUGGCUAAGGCAAUGCUCAAAAAGUUUGAAAAAUAUUGGAAGUGUUAUAGUGUUGUCUUAUCAUGUGCUGUUAUAUUAGAUCCUCGCUAUAAGUUACACUUGUUAGAGUUUUGCUACUCAAAGUUGGACAUGGAUGAUCAUGUGGAAUUUGUACGGGGCAUUCGAGAAAAACUCUACACUUUUUGAUGAAUAUGUGACCUCCAUGUCUAGAGAUGAUCACUUUACUUCUUCAACUAGUCGAGGUAACAUUUCAGUUGAGGGCAUUGAUGAGAACAUUGGGGAUGACAUUGAUGAGUAUGAUGCAUUUGAGAGUGAACACUUUGGAUCACAAUCUAUUAAGUCAUAAUUGGAUUUGUAUUUGAAAGAGAAUAGGCUUGAUAGAAAGAAGUUCCCGGAUCUCAAUGUCCUUGAUUAUUGGAAGACUCAUUCUCAUCGGUAUCCCGAGUUAUCCCUCAUGGCACAUGAUAUAUUGAGCAUUCCUAUCACUAUCGUUGCCUCAGAAUCAGCCUUCAGCAUUGGAGGACACAUUUUAAAUAAAUAUCGUAGUUUCCUUUCUCCCGAAAGCAUAGAGGCUGAGCUGUGCACUAGAAAUUGGUUAUUUGGAGUUCCACCUGAGGAAGAUUUAGAUGAGGAGUCUCUCAUCAUUGACUUUCAAGACUAUUUGCAUUAGGUUCUAGACUAGUUGUUGGGUCAUAAUGAGGAGGUAUCAAGUUGAAACUGAUGCAUUUUUGUCAGUGCUAACGCUUCAACCUAUUCGAAGAUGGAAUCAGUGCCUACCAUUGUUGAGGUUUCAAAUUCCAAUACUUAUGACCUUUUAAAAUCAGUCUCAAGCAUAAAGGUGGCACCUGUAGAGAAUGUUGCAUCAAAGUUAUUUGUUCAAUGCUCUCGGCAAAAGAAGCUCAUGGAGAUCUAUAGACACUUGCUCAACUAUCAAAGCAGUCGUUUGUGGCCUCUAUAGGACUGGGAAGCUAUAGUUCCAUCCAAGUGAUGAUGAGAUUGUGCAACAAUGUGACAAAGUAAUGAGGACAUUAACUUUUAUAGUUCUAAGUUCCCCUUGAGACUCACAUAAUCCAGCAUAUUUGUUUUGGUUUUUUGAUGUGCAUAGUUAAUAUCUUGUUGCGCGUAAUAUUUGCUUCAAUAAUGCACUUUUGACAUGUAACUUCUUAUGGCUUUUUUAUGCUUAAAUUUUGUGGAUGAGGGAAAAUGUAAGAGAAGUCCACUUGUUGGCCAAAUGCAUUAUUAAGUGACUGACAAGUUGUUUCUCGAGUCA